rnacentral:rRNA from 1 species
AUUGAACGCUGGCGGCAGGCCUAACACAUGCAAGUCGAGCGGAUGAAGGGAGCUUGCUCCUGGAUUCAGCGGCGGACGGGUGAGUAAUGCCUAGGAAUCUACCUGGUAGUGGGGGAUAACGUCCGGAAACGGGCGCUAAUACCGCAUACGUCCUGAGGGAGAAAGUGGGGGAUCUUCGGACCUCACGCUAUCAGAUGAGCCUAGGUCGGAUUAGCUAGUUGGUGGGGUAAAGGCCUACCAAGGCGACGAUCCGUAACUGGUCUGAGAGGAGGAUCAGUCACACUGGAACUGAGACACGGUCCAGACUCCUACGGGAGGCAGCAGUGGGGAAUAUUGGACAAUGGGCGAAAGCCUGAUCCAGCCAUGCCGCGUGUGUGAAGAAGGUCUUCGGAUUGUAAAGCACUUUAAGUUGGGAGGAAGGGCAGUAAGUUAAUACCUUGCUGUUUUGACGUUACCAACAGAAUAAGCACCGGCUAACUUCGUG